GUGUGUAUGUGUUUCUGUAUACAUACACACACAUAUAUAUAUAUAUAUAUAUAUAUGUAUAUAUAUAUAUACACACAUUAUAGGGUGCUGCUGGGGCCAUAUAUAUAUAUAUAUAUAUAUAUAUAUAUAUGUGUGUGUAUGUAUACAGAAACACAUACACAC